AUUGAACGCUGGCGGCAGGCCUAACACAUGCAAGUCGAACGGUAACAGGAAGCAGCUUGCUGCUUUGCUGACGAGUGGCGGACGGGUGAGUAAUGUCUGGGAAACUGCCCGAUGGAGGGGGAUAACUACUGGAAACGGUAGCUAAUACCGCAUAACGUCGCAAGACCAAAGAGGGGGACCUUAGGGCCUCUUGCCAUCGGAUGUGCCCAGAUGGGAUUAGCUAGUAGGUGGGGUAACGGCUCAUCUAGGCGACGAUCCCUAGCUGGUCUGAGAGGAUGACCAGCCACACUGGAACUGAGACACGGUCCAGACUCCUACGGGAGGCAGCAGUGGGGAAUAUUGCACAAUGGGCGCAAGCCUGAUGCAGCCAUGCCGCGUGUAUGAAGAAGGCCUUCGGGUUGUAAAGUACUUUCAGCGGGGAGGAAGGGAGUAAAGUUAAUACCUUUGCUCAUUGACGUUACCCGCAGAAGAAGCACCGGCUAACUCCGUG
rnacentral:rRNA from 1 species